rnacentral:rRNA from 1 species
UACAGAGGGUGCAAGCGUUAAUCGGAAUUACUGGGCGUAGAGCGUGCGCAGACGGUUGCGUAAGUCAGAUGUGAAAGCCCCGGGCUCAACCUGGGAAUUGCAUUUGAGACUGCGUAGCUAGGGUGCGGAAGAGGGAAGCGGAAUUUCCGGUGUAGCGGUGAAAUGCGUAGAUAUUGGGAGGAACACCAGUGGCGAAGGCGGCUCACUGGACCGGUUCUGACGCUGAGGCGCGAAAGCGUGGGGAGCAAACGGG